AACUGAAGAGUUUGAUCAUGGCUCAGAUUGAACGCUGGCGGCAGGCUUAACACAUGCAAGUCGAGCGGAGAGAGGUAGCUUGCUACUGAUCUUAGCGGCGGACGGGUGAGUAAUGCUUAGGAAUCUGCCUAUUAGUGGGGGACAACAUUUCGAAAGGAAUGCUAAUACCGCAUACGUCCUACGGGAGAAAGCAGGGGAUCUUCGGACCUUGCGCUAAUAGAUGAGCCUAAGUCGGAUUAGCUAGUUGGUGGGGUAAAGGCCUACCAAGGCGACGAUCUGUAGCGGGUCUGAGAGGAUGAUCCGCCACACUGGGACUGAGACACGGCCCAGACUCCUACGGGAGGCAGCAGUGGGGAAUAUUGGACAAUGGGCGCAAGCCUGAUCCAGCCAUGCCGCGUGUGUGAAGAAGGCCUUAUGGUUGUAAAGCACUUUAAGCGAGGAGGAGGCUACUUUAGAUAAUACCUAGAGAUAGUGGACGUUACUCGCAGAAUAAGCACCGGCUAACUCUGUGCCAGCAGCCGCGGUAAUACAGAGGGUGCAAGCGUUAAUCGGAUUUACUGGGCGUAAAGCGCGCGUAGGCG
rnacentral:rRNA from 1 species